rnacentral:lncRNA from 1 species
CUCUGCUCCCAGCGAGGGACGCUGGCCUUCUCGCGGCUUUCCCCCGAUAUCUCUCUUUAUUCCAGCUGCCUGAAACUCGGUCCCACGAAUGGCAGGCAGCGUCCAAAAUUCAACCCCGUAAAGCCAGCACCAGCCAAUAAAGCGCACGGAUGGAGGCCACGUGACAGCAGUGGGCCGGCCCUCCGGCUGAGCCCUGAUCUCUAUGGUUUCCGCGGCUCGCUAGAAGGAGUGUGGUCCACCGGAGGACUCCCUACAUUCUUCCUCCAUUACCUCACUGCCUCCGGUGGCUGCUGGGAUACCGGAGGACUCGGGUCCCGGCUCGACUCAGUCCUCCAGCCGCCCGGGGAAUACCUCUAGUUCUUCCCGGCCGCCGCCGCCGCCGCCGCCCCGCCGCUUCCUCCUCCGCCUGCCGGCCUCCUUCGCCCCGUCCCGUCCGCGCAGCGCGUCCGGCCCGCCCGCAGGCCAGCUUCUCUCGGGAGCCCCCACCCAGGCGCAUGGCUCCAUGAAGCAAGAGGAGGAGGCAGAGCGCGAGAGGUCCCGUCCGCCCCAGCCGCGUCUGGGCCAGGAUAAAAGCAAAACCAUAUUCCUGCUGCUGUCAGUUAUGAUGCACUGAGAAAACUUCAGAGACCUAAACUUUUUCCAGAGAAGAGAAGCUUUACUGGUGUUCCAGCCCUAAGAAACCUUUGUUCAAGAAAACGGCAGAUGCUCUGUUGAAUCCACUGGAGAUUGUUCUGAUACUAAGGACAACAACCAUCUUUCCUGUGAAAAAUUCCCUCUCGUACUUUAGUUCUGUGGAUCCAAAAUUUAUAGCAUUCUUCUACCACCACAGGGGCUCAUAUGACAUUAACAGACAAGACACUUUUCAGAAAGACAGGCAACGUGUUGGACCUUCCGGAGCUUCUCAGAAGACAGAGGGUUUUCUUUUGAGGUAAAUUUGAUAGUACAUUUUGAUAGUACGGGAGGCGAUACGGCAUGGUGACAGAAAAGCGCCGGCUUGGUUAGCAGGACCACCUGGCAGGGCUGCAGGCUGUGCCACUUACCAGGCAGGGGACCUUGGGCCAGCUGCUUGGCCUCACUCACCCUGUUUCUCAGCUGCAAUUGGGAUGAACAGACUGCCUGCUUCGGGGUUGCCUAAAACUCACAUUGGUUAAUGAUGUGAAAUGCUUAGCGCAGUGCCUGGCAUAGAGAGAAUUCUCAUUAGAUGAUACCUCAGCUGGGCUUUAGGAGCUACAGAAGAAGCUGCAUCUCCAUGAGCUCAGCGUGUUUCUAGCUUUCCUUUUUGUUUUCUAUUCAACCUUUCACCCAACUCAGCUUCUCAAUCCCUAAAUGACAAAGGUUUGGGAAGGAAGACUUGGACCGAGGCUUGCAUUUGUUUCUGAGAAUUAAACGUUAUGUUUUCUUCAAUCUAAAUAGGUUUGCUUGUACAGCCUUGUUGAAUGGUUUUUUUUUUUUUUCUCCAUGAUAAAUGACUCUCAACUUCUUUUCCCUCAUCUAAUUGCUUAUCUACAUACAAUGCCUGGAAGGAAAUAAAUGUAAUGGCCCGUAGCAACUGGCCUUCAGGUAUCAAGUUUAAGUCCCUUUAAGCAGAACAGCAAAUUGAGCACAGAAUGAACUGGUUUCAUGGUAGCGUACUGCAAUUAGAUGCAAGAAUAGGGAAAGCAGGGUGCUUCAAGUGGUGACACAAUUAGUAUAGCACUGAGGGACUUCUCUUUCCACUUCUUCAACUCCGCCUGCAUUCCGCUGGCUGAAGAGUUGAUGACAUCCCUGAAAAAUCUUCCCUCUCUUGUUUCUCUGAUGCCACCUCUGUGUUCUCCGCCUCACUGGCCACACUUCCUUUACCUCCCAAACUUUUAACUCUGAGUGUCCCAAACUUGUCUCAUCACCUACCCCUGCUGCCCAGCUCCCCAGCCUGUUCCCCUUCUGACACGGGCACUCUCCUUCUGCUCUCUUGGGAGAGAAACAAUGAAGGCCUAUUUGGCACUUUUAUUUCUAUUCAAGGAACCAGACUGUGAACAAGUUUACCAUUUAGUCCUUUGGACUGUGUCUUGAAUUCAUCCCUCUUCUCCAUUCUCACCAGCACCAUCAUCAUGAUGGCUAAUAUUUCCUGAGCACCUUUCAUUCAGGCAUGAUGCCAGGUGCACCAACUUACUUAAUCCUCAUAGCCACCACCUGAGCAAGCUCCUGUUUUAUAAAUGGACCAGUUCUUGUUGCUGUUGUACAAGUUAUUUUCUUUCUAUAACGUCCUCCUUGUCCUCCUUCCACAUUCUUAAAGAAACUUUCCCUUCCUUUAAAGUACUCAGGGAGCCCUGCAUUGCUUCUUGAAGCCUUCUCCAGCUUCAUCAUCUCACAGUGGUCUCUCUUUUCACUAAAUGUCCAAUAUGCUGCACAUAAGUACCCCAAAGUUAGCACAGAAUUGUUCCAUGGCUGUCAUAUAUGUUAAAAAUCAUUAAAAGUUCAUUUUUUCUCCCAUUAUGGGAAGGAUACAUGCUCCUACUAGUAAAUUUAGUUGGUAGAAAAAAAUUAUCACUAUCUAGACUGCUUUCCCUUUAGUCUUUAUGCAUAGCUUUCUGUCUGCCUAUUUUUACUUUGUGUUUGUAACUUACUAUUAUAAAAUAUGCAUCUCUAUGUUCAUUGUCAACAUUAUUUACAAUAACAUGGAGUGGAUUUACAUGUAUUCUCUAUAUUUGGAUUAAAGGAGAUAGAGUAUGUGAAAUUAAAUGGGAGAAGUAUCUGAUACAUAACAGGCAAUACAAAUAUUAUCACAUAGCGUCAAUUUAUUUGUGAAUAUUGAAAGCUCCA